UACGAAGGGUGCAAACGUUGCUCGGAAUCAUUGGGCGUAAAGCGCACGUAGGCGGCAUUCUAAGUCGGAUGUGAAAGCCCUCGGCUUAACUGAGGAAGUGCACCCGAAACUGAGUAGCUGGAGUACGAAAGAGGGUCGCGGAAUUCCCGGUGUAGAGGUGAAAUUCGUAGAUAUCGGGAGGAACACCGGUGGCGAAGGCGGCGACCUGGGUCGAGACUGACGCUGAGGCGCGAAAGCGUGGGGAGCAAACAGG
rnacentral:rRNA from 1 species